CAGUCGCCGCGGUAAAACGUAGGGUGCGAGCGUUAAUCGGAAUUACUGGGCGUAAAGCGAGCGCAGGCGGUUUGAUAAGUCUGAAGUUAAAGGCUGUGGCUCAACCAUAGUUCGCUUUGGAAACUGUCAAACUUGAGUGCAGAAGGGGAGAGUGGAAUUCCAUGUGUAGCGGUGAAAUGCGUAGAGAUGUGGAGGAACACCAGUGGCGAAGGCGACUCUCUGGUCUGUAACUGACGCUGAGGAGCGAAAGCGUGGGGAGCGAACAGGAUUAGAUACCCCAGUAGUCCCUGUCUCUUAUACA
rnacentral:rRNA from 1 species